CCAGGAGAUGCCCUUACUGAAUCAUCAGAGCUGAACAGUGCGGGGUUUUUCCACUCUGCUGGGCUCCACCUUGAGCCGGAGACUCCAAUCAGCCUUCACACCUGAUUCCGAUCAAGUCACCAGCAUAUAAGACCAGCGCUCACAACAGACCUCUGCCAGAUCUACAGCUAUAUCACUACCCACCUGGGUGUCACGCUUCUCAAACUGAACUGCACCCAUCUCUGUCUGGACGCUGGUUUCCUGAUAUCUGGUUGUACCCCCUCCA